AACGCACGAGACCUGCGGACCUGCGGAGGGAUCAUUAUUGAAUUAAUGGAUUUGAGUUUGUUGCUGGCUUUUUAAGCAUGUGCACAUUCAUUCCUUUUUUUCUUUCUUUACACCACAUGUGAACUUCUGUAGAUCUGAAAAGCUUUUCAAACCUCUCUUGGUUUUGGUUUGAGAAAUUGCAGUGCAUUCUGGUCGGCCAAAUCCUGCUUUUUCUUGAUUUGGAUCUACAUUUUUUAAUAA
rnacentral:misc_RNA from 1 species